AAUGUCAUGUACAUUUACAACUCCCCAUGAUGAAUGCAAUUAUAACGGAAUAGACCAAACCAUGAGGUUUUAUUAUUUGAGCUAUUAAAUUCUCACACUGGUGUUUUUUCUUUUGAAAACAGAAGUGAUCAUUAAUAAUUACCAGCACUGUAAACAUAUGCCAGACAGGUAUUAUUUUAAGUAUAUCUGGACUUGAACAAGGAAUCUAAUUUCUCAUGAUACCAUCUGAUAAAAUGGAGAAAUGAGGACUCAAAAACAGGAUAGCAUCGCUUUAUUUUCCUCCAGAAUCUGGAAUUCCAACAUGAAGUUAUUCAGAUCAAAUAUCACUUUACUGGCAAGGUCUCACCAUGCAGGGCAGACACACACAGCCAUCUUGGCUCACAUCCCAAAUGCUGUGACUAAAGGACUACACCAGCACACACCUUUGCAAUAAGGAAGGCAAAGGGAAGAUACAGCGAUGAGGCAGCAAAGCGUCUCCUUCCUGGACAGAACCGCAGAAGUCUUAAUGAAACACCAUAUAAUCACUCUUGUAAUAAAAUGUACUGUGUGUAUUUAUAAAGAUUUAAAUCCUGAUAGAAACAAAGAAAGUCAGUUUACUUAAAGAUUUUUUUUAUUCUAAAAGAAAUUGAUCAGUGCAAUCCUGUGGAACCAAUGUCUGUUACAGAAACUGUUAUCAAAAGCAAACAAAAAAACCCUUUUAAAUUACUUAUAUAUUAACUUUUGAAAACAAAAGUCAUAGGGUCUAUUUUGUUCUAUUUAACUAUAAAUGCUACACAUUUACAAACUGAAAUAAAAGAAAUGGACAGUACAUAGAUUAAAUGAAAUCUCUUAAAGAAUAAAACUGCUUCUCAGCCUGUGUUUUCAAAGCUGAUUUUCACCAAGCCUGGAUGAAAACUAUGAACCAAAAACUGUGUUUCCUUAUGGAAAAAAAAUAUUUAAAUUAUUAGCAAAGUAACAUCUUACAAUGUAUCUUCACUCACUUGAAAUCUUAGUACAGUAUAAACUUGUGUAUCAACUCACUUUUCAUUAUUCUACUUUAAAAAUAUAUACAACUAUGAUAUCCAAAUACAUAAUCUGAAUCAUCUGUCCAAACAUAAAUAUUUGGGAAAUUCAACUGCCACACAGAUUAUGAAAAGAUUAAAAAAAGAGAUGAGCUACAAAUUACAUAGGAGGAAGUACAGUUAUUCAGCAAUCAUGUCUGGAGACAUGUCCUCUAAAUUAUAUAUAUGUAUCACGUUGAGCAGAUAGCCACCAAAACUAGAGCUAC